rnacentral:rRNA from 1 species
CCUACGGGGCGCAGCAGUGAGGAAUAUUGGUCAAUGGGCGGGAGCCUGAACCAGCCAAGUCGCGUGAGGGAAGACGGUCCUAUGGAUUGUAAACCUCUUUAGGCGGGGAGCAAUGCCGGGCACGCGCGCCCGGAGGGAGAGUACCCGCAGAAUAAGCAUCGGCUAACUCCGUGCCAGCAGCCGCGGUAAUACGGAGGAUGCGAGCGUUAUCCGGAUUUAUUGGGUUUAAAGGGUGCGUAGGCGGAAUAUCAAGUCAGCGGUAAAAAUUCGGGGCUCAACCCCGUCGUGCCGUUGAAACUGAUGUU